AUUGAACGCUAGCGGGAUGCCUUACACAUGCAAGUCGAACGGAGUGGCGAACGGGUGAGUAAUGUAUCGGAACGUGCCCAGUAGCGGGGGAUCACUACGCGAAAGCGUAGCUAAUACCGCAUACUAUUAGAGCGGCCGCUGUCGGCUUAGCUAGUUGGUGGGGUAACGGCUCACCAAGGCGACGAUCCGGAGCUGGUAUGAGAGGACGAUCGGCCAAACUGGGACUGAGACACGGCCCAGACUCCUACGGGAGGCAGCAGUGGGGAAUUUUGGACAAGGGGGGAAACCCUGAGCCAGCCAUCCCGCGUGUGCGAUGAAGGCGUUCGGGUAGUAAAGCACUGUUGGCAGGAAAGCGGUACCUGAAGAAUAAGCACCGGCUAACUACGUGCCAGCAGCCGCGGUAAUUC
rnacentral:rRNA from 1 species